rnacentral:lncRNA from 1 species
CAGGCAAGACACUGAGUGGGACGUUGCAGGGCUACCAAGGUGAGGAGGUCCCAACCCCUGUCCUCAAGGAGUUGAUGUAACACCUACCCAGGAUUAAUUUCAUUUCUCUCAGAGGUCAUUAAUCCAGUGUGAUCUGUUUAUGGCUGAAGAGGUAGUUUAUUAUUCAGGUCUUCACUCCCUUUCCUGAAAAGGCUGUUUAUUUUGUUUCAUCACUGUGCAGUGGCGAAAUCCAGUUCCAACCAAUACUUAAGCUGGGCAUACAUUUUACCCAGGAGAAAACUGAAGGGCGUGCAGGAGUUCACAGAGCUGUUUGCUGACCCAAGCCAUGAAUCUGUGGAGACCUGGGUCGGUCUUCAGGGUUAGUAGGGUCUGUAGGGUCUGUGAGGAUCCGAGGCAGCCUGCAGACCUACUAUCAUCUUCUUUUUCUUUUUUAUAAUUGGCAAUCAUCCUUGGCUACCCAGUAGCAUCUUUUUUUUUUUUUUUUGAGAUAGAGUUUCACUCUUGUUGCCCAGGCUGGAGUGCCAUGGCGCGAUCUCUGCUCACUGCAACCUCUGCCUCCUGGGUUCAAACGAUUCCCCUGCCUCAGCCUCCCGAGUAGCUGGGAUUACAGGCAUGCGCCACUACACCCAGCUCAUUUUGUAUUUUUAGUAGAGACAGGGUUUUUCCAUGUUGGUCAGGUGGUCUUGAACUCCCGACCUCAGGUGAUCCGCCCACCUUAGCCUCCCAAAGUGCUGGGAUUAUAGGCGUGAGCCACUGUGCCCAGCCCCCUGGUAGCAUCUUAAAUCAAGCUUUCCUUCCCUCUGGGUAUCAUGGACAUGAACACCUUUUAUGUCUCUGCCUCAAGAGGGGAGGAGGCACAGAGGAACAAAAAUCCUUGUGAAUUAUGAUAAUUACAUAGUGUUUAAAUGAAGGGUGGCAAGGUGUGUAAGUCCAUAGGUAAGGUUUCUUUUUUCUUUUUCUUUUCUUUUUUUUGAGAUGGAGUCUCACUCUGUCACCCAGGCUGGAGUGCAGUGGUGCAAUCUUGGCUCACUGCAACCUCCGUCUCCCGGGUUCAAGCGAUUCUCCUGCCCUCAGCCUCUGGAGUAGCUGAGAUUACAGGCACGCCAUCACGCCCAGCUAACUUUUGUAUUUUUAGUAGAGAUGGGUUUUCACCAUGUUGGCCAAGCUGGUCUCGCACUCCUGACCUCAAGUGAUCUGCCUGCCCCGGCCUCCUGAAGUGCUGGGGUUACAGGUGUGGUGUGAGCCACCACGCCCAGCCUCUUCUUUUUUUUUUUUUUUUUUUUGAGACAGGUUUUCACGUUAUUCCCCAGGUUGGAGUGCAGUGUUGCCAUCUUGGUUUACUGCAGCCUAGGUUCAAGCCAUCCUUGUAUCGGCCUCCCAGGUAGCUUAGUCUACAGCUGUGUGCCACCACACCCGGCUAAUUUUUGUAGAAACUGGGUUUCACCCCGUUGCCCAGGCUGGUUUCGAACUCUUGAGCUUAAGUGAUCUAGUCACCUUGGCCUCCGGAAGUGCUGGGAUUACAGGCGUGAGCCAUCGUGCGGCCUGGCAAAGUUUCUUUAUCCUCAGUGCUUGUCUGGGUGUGUUGUCUGGUGGGAACCACUUAGACCCUGUAAGUGAAUGUGUAUUCCCAUCUUGUAGAUGGUAACCUGAGGCCCAACGGGUGUCUGGAGGUAGUGUUGGACACCUCGUGGUCUGCAUCUUGCUGCACACAGAAUCCAGCCUAGACUCAUUAUCCUGGCCUUUGAAGUCUCCCCCAGUAUGAAUCCCCCAGCCUCCCAUUCCUGUUUCUCCGAAGGCCAAGCUCGAAGCAUCUGCUGCCUCGUUUCUGCCAAGUUGGCCCCACCUCCUGAGACACUUCUCCCCUCUACUGGCCUGGUGAAACUCAACACAUCCUUCAAAGCCCAGCUCAGGUGUCACCUCUCUCCUGGUUGGAAUUAACCUCUUCCUCCUUAGCACUCUCUGGUUUGGCCCUUUCUCUUGCGGCUUCUCCUGGGCAAGUGGCAUAGCCUCCCUGAUCCUAGUGUCUUCCUCUGUGCAUGGGCACAGGAGUAAUAUCUGCUGUGAUCUUUAACUCCUGUCAGUUCAUUGACCUCUUUAACAACGUGAUGAAAGCUUCCAGAAGAGCUAAUGUAUGUGGAGUCCCACGAUGUGUCAGGCUAGGUGUUUAGGACUUUACUAACUACUGUCUCGUUUAAUCGCGAAUGCAGUGGACCUCUCUCUCCACACGUCCUAGUACGAUCUUUAUUUCACACGGGAGGAGAGGAGGGUGGGUGGGGUCGGCCAGAGAGGAGAAAUGCGUCUCCAGAGUUCACAGGGCUGGUACUACCAGCAGAGCCCCGUCCACCAUAUGCCACAGCUGGGGUUCUAAUCCCUGGACUGGCUUGUACUGGGCUCUCUGCCUCCCUGGCCGGCGCUCGGGGGCUGGGGGACAGAACACAAUGUACAGCGUGCCUUCUACAAUUUCGGGGUUCACGCACCCCCAAGCCCACCCAGGGCCAGGUCAAACGCGCCUUCGCCGGGUUGCUG